rnacentral:rRNA from 1 species
GAUGAACGCUAGCGGCAGGCUUAACACAUGCAAGUCGAGGGGUAUAGUAGCAAUACUAGAGACCGGCGCACGGGUGCGUAACGCGUGUGCAAUCUACCUUUCACAAAGGGAUAGCCCAGAGAAAUUUGGAUUAAUACCUUAUAGUAUAAUUGAAUGGCAUCAUUUAAUUAUUAAAGAUUUAUCGGUGAAAGAUGAGCAUGCGUCCCAUUAGCUAGUUGGUAUGGUAACGGCAUACCAAGGCUACGAUGGGUAGGGGUCCUGAGAGGGAGAUCCCCCACACUGGUACUGAGACACGGACCAGACUCCUACGGGAGGCAGCAGUGAGGAAUAUUGGACAAUGGGCGCAAGCCUGAUCCAGCCAUGCCGCGUGCAGGAUGACGGUCCUAUGGAUUGUAAACUGCUUUUGUACAGGAAGAAACACCUCUACGUGUAGAGACUUGACGGUACUGUAAGAAUAAGGAUCGGCUAACUCCGUGCCAGCAGCCGCGGUAAUACGGAGGAUCCAAGCGUUAUCCGGAAUCAUUGGGUUUAAAGGGUCCGUAGGCGGUCUUAUAAGUCAGUGGUGAAAUCUCCCCGCUCAACGGGGAAACGGCCAUUGAUACUGUAAGACUUGAAUUAUUAGGAGGUAACUAGAAUAUGUAGUGUAGCGGUGAAAUGCUUAGAGAUUACAUGGAAUACCAAUUGCGAAGGCAGGUUACUACUAAUGGAUUGACGCUGAUGGACGAAAGCGUGGGUAGCGAACAGGAUUAGAUACCCUGGUAGUCCACGCCGUAAACGAUGGAUACUAGCUGUUGGAAGCAAUUUCAGUGGCUAAGCGAAAGUGAUAAGUAUCCCACCUGGGGAGUACGUUCGCAAGAAU